rfam:Sorghum bicolor cultivar BTx623 chromosome 2, whole genome shotgun sequence.
GUUGUCGGAUUCACUUCAAUCCAUAGGUGUGUGAGUUGGGGUAGAAUUUAGUUCAAGUUCCACUCCAACUCACUUCAACACAUGUGGAUUGAUGUGAAUACAACU